CUUUGUGCACUGUAACAUAUUUAUUGUCAAGAGUGCAUUGGUUUAUAUAUUUACAAACAAGAAACAAAAAUGUAUAGAGCUAAUGGGAAUGCCAUCAAUUAUUCUAUAAGUUUUAUUGAACUCAAUUAUCACCCCCCCCCUCUACAUUACAAAAUGUGUAAAAGUCAAGUACUCCUUACUGAAUAAUAUUCAAUAAAUCAAAACAUGUGCUUGCUAGGUAGCAGUUAUAUCUCUUACAAAACGUGUAGGAAAAAAAAUGUUUACAUUAAAACAAAAAAUGAUGGAAAUAAAAUACUGAUCCACCUGAUCAUCUUACUGAUGAAACCAAACUUCAAGUCUGCUGAGUUCCACUGAAUGAAGAAGUUGCUGUUGUAUUUACACAUGAAGUUGAGUACACUUCUAGGGAAGACAGCUGCAUGUUAUACUUGAAUGAGAUUCACAAUGAAACAGUGAAGAAGAAACUGUUUCUACUUCAAGAACACAAUGUAGUUAUUUAGAGCCGCUGGCAACUCAGACAAACUGGACUACAUACACAAUGGGUUAUUGUUACCUGAGUUUUGAACUGGAAGAAAGUUGAAUACAGAUAUCUGCUUACAUUUAUGUAGAGCUGUAUGCUCAUCCAAACAUUACCUGAACUUUAAUUUAAAAAAAAAAUAGAAUAACUAACAAAACAAUGUUUAAUUACCCAUCCUCAGCAAUGGAUUCAUUUGUAUUAGAUAUGGCUAAAUAUGUAGGCUAACGCUGGGGUUUUCUUAAUUUUGAAGCUUUACAAGUUCCAAGUUAAAAAAAAACGCCAACUUGGCACACUUUGUUUUUCCAUGUUCACUGCAGAUCAAAUAAACUGGAAUGUAGGAGAGUGCUGCAACCUGGCCAGGCACAUCUUUUAGACAAAAUGAAAGAAAUCAGAGAAUUGUUACAUCUCUUUUCAUUGUAAUUAUUAGGCUUAUUAUACAAUAAUGAAAAUUUAAGGCUUGGAUAUAACUAGAUUAAAGAAAAAAAAAAAAAAAGCUCUAACUUUCAGCCCAUUUCAAAUUAAGUUUUAUAUCUCACUGCCCCCUAUACAUUUAGUUCUACUGAAUACAUCUAUUGAGUAUGCUACUAAUUGUUCAUUCACAGUAACAAAAUACUACAUAUGUCUGUAAACCAGUACAUGAUUUUAAAAAAAUGACAUAUAUAUAUAUAAAACCAUAAAUAAUUGUGGUAUUUCAAAAAAGGUUUCCAUGACAAAAUACUGAAGCUUAUGUUCUGAUUGACUGUGAACAAUGUAAUAAUAAAAAAAAGCCUAACAAUAACAAGGCAAGGCAUGAGCAAUGUACUGCUACAAUCAUUGAACACAUUUUGACAUGGAAACCGUUACAAGUACAUUCUAGAAAAAUAUAGUUUCAAAAUUGGUUAAAUGUAACUGUUCUCGUAGGUCUUUGACUAAGCAUAGAAACAGAAUACUUGUUUUAAAUAUAAUAUCUGAAAUUAUUGCUGCACCAAUAAUAUGUGAAAGUUGCAGUCCAGUAACAUCGACAAGAAUAUAAACAGGUCAGAAAACCAAUUGAAAAGUAACAAUAUCAAAGCAAUUGGAUAACACUCACAAAAUACCAGAAAAAAAAAGUAUAAUAAAAGGAUUUUAGAACGACUAAAAGUUUUUAAACAAACUAUGGUUCAAUACUUUUGAUCCUUGGUAAUAGCAUUUCAGACUUUUCUCAUUAACUUUUAGUAAGCUAAUAUGUCAUUACAGUCCAUAAAGAACUACUUUGUCAUUUCAUUUCCACUUGGACCAAUAUAUUAUUUUCUUUGUUAAGUCUGGACUUGCUUGUCUUCACAUGUAAGAAUGACUUAAAUGUUCAAGUUUAUGUGUAUGCUCUAAAUAAUUUCCUUAGCCCCAAAUAAGCCAACCAUGGUCAGAGGAGUUAGAGUUUUUGGCACAUCGGCACAAUUAAGGUCAGAGGAAAAAGGUGAUCUAUGGCUCUUUAGUAUUUCAAAGUUAAGAUUCUAGAUUAUGGUAUUUCAUUUGUAUUUCUUGUGAUAAUCAUAUAGAUACAGCAUGUCACUAAACUUAGAUUUACAUUUGGAACAAAAUGUACAACCCACACAAAAUGUAUUCCAAGAAAACAAGAUGGUCAAACACAAGUAUACAUAGAGGUGUGUAUAAUGGGCAAUACAAGAUUGAAUAUGAACUUUACAUUGUAUGUCAUUCAAGAAUGUUCAAAAUAUAUAUAGGUACUGGCAUGAAUGAACACACCCAUGUUAUAAAUACAAAGUACAUGACAAGAGAUCCAAAUGUGACAAAUAGGAAAGGAAAAAAAAUAAAUUCACCCCUUGAAAAAAAUAGGGUUCCUUAAUAUCAGGGCUCUACAUAGUCAAGACACGCCUACCACUUUAUCCUUUUUAUAUAUAUAUAUAUAUAUUAGCCCUGAUUACAAGUUUAAAGAAUGUUAAUUAACAUGCAAGGAUCUACUUAGACCAAUAACAAGAGUUAUGAGAGUUGGUAAGUAACUUAGUCCUUCAAGGUAUGACAAUCUAACAUAAGCAAGUUUGAUCUAUCUACAUUAAUUACAAGUUGGGUUCAUGUAGGCUUAAACAGUAUCAUAUAAAACCUUCAUUAAAAAAAACAACAACUUAAAUACCAGGAUACCAGUUUCAGGACAUAACAUCAACUGUUAUAACAACUUAGUUAUACAACUCCACUCUCUAGUCAAGCAUAACAUGGAAAAAAAAAACAAAUAUCCAAGCAAGAAGUGAAGUCAUUUAAAUUCAGAGCAGACACCAUUAGAGGUGAUCAGCCAAGCAUGAAAUGUAUGGUGGCACACAUCCACAUAUAAGUUGAAUACAUCUGUUGGCUUAGCUUCAUAAGAGCUUCAAACAAUCAUAGAAUGGGUUCUACACAAACUAUUUGAAGAGUUGACACUAUUUUAACUGUGACUUUAUUACAUAGACUUGAAGUUUUUAACUUUUAUCAGGUUCUAAAUAGAAAUGAAAUGGCCUAAAUCUAAAAGAAACUUUUCUGUAUAAAUUCAGCACAUUUUAAUUACCCACAUAAAUAUACAUUUUUUGUUUGCUAUUGAUAUAUGAAAAAUUAAAAACUAGCUAAGGCAACAUGGCUAAAAAGGAAAAGGUCCAAGAUCUCAGUAGAAUAACACUUCAGAAAAUUUCUUCUAAUAUACAUGAGACAAUUGUUCCCUUAUAUCUUAUAAAUAAGGAAUGAACCAAAUACAAUGUUUUUUUUAUAGAAUUAUUUACCUUUAACAUAUUUAUCAAAAGCAAUGUCAUGUGAUUGUCAAAAGGAUAGCAAAAUGUCUGCAAAUAUGUUCUCAAAAAACCAAAAAAAAACAAAUUAGUGGGCAAAUACAAUUACAGAGAAGCACAGCUGAAAGGACGAUGAAUUCAUAAGAUGCAGCUAAACAGAAUAAUUAGUUUGGUUUCAAAAGUAACUUGCAGACUUUAAAAAAAAUCACACUAAGGAAAUGCAUGAAAGAUUUCUCAAAAGUAACAAAUGAACCAAAAUAAAACAAGGUUGGGUAAAAAUAGAGCUGGGUUGUUUUGUUUUACUUAUGGCACAUCUAAAAAACACAUGAGUUCAGACUUUUGCUUUAUUUUUUUUGUCGAAAUAUUGCACAAUCAAAUGAUUUAUUAAUACAACUGAGCACAAAUAAAUGGAGGCCAUAAAAAAAGGAACAUUUUGUGAAAUAUGUCAUAUAUAUAUAUAUAUAUAUAUA